UACGAGUGCCUCAAGCGUUAUCCGGAAUUAUUGGGCGUAAAGGGUGUGUAGGCUGUUUUGUUAGUCUUCUGUCAAAUUCUUCGGCUUAACCGGGGGUCCGCAGAGGAAACGGCAAAACUAGAGGAUGCGAGAGGUGAAUGGAACUCAUAGUGUAGGGGUGAAAUCCGUUGAUAUUAUGGGGAACACCAAAAGCGAAGGCAAUUCACUGGCGCACUCCUGACGCUGAAACACGAAAGCGUGGGUAGCGAAUGGG
rnacentral:rRNA from 1 species